rnacentral:rRNA from 1 species
AGUGAACGCUGGCGGUAGGCCUAACACAUGCAAGUCGAACGGCAGCACAGUAAGAGCUUGCUCUUACGGGUGGCGAGUGGCGGACGGGUGAGGAAUACAUCGGAAUCUACUUUUUCGUGGGGGAUAACGUAGGGAAACUUACGCUAAUACCGCAUACGACCUACGGGUGAAAGCAGGGGAUCUUCGGACCUUGCGCGAUUGAAUGAGCCGAUGUCGGAUUAGCUAGUUGGCGGGGUAAAGGCCCACCAAGGCGACGAUCCGUAGCUGGUCUGAGAGGAUGACAAGCAAACAGGGAACUGGGCAACGGUCCAAAACCCUACGGGAGGCAGAAGUGGGGAAUAUUGGACAAGGGGGGAAAGCCUAAUCAGGCCAAACCGGGUGGGGGAAGAAGGCCUUCGGGUUGUAAAGCCCUUUUGUUGGGAAAAAAAAGCAGCAGGUUAAUACCCCGCUGUUCUGACGGUACCCAAAGAAUAGCACCGGCUAACUUCGUG